AUUUAUAUAGUUUAAAUAAAACAUUAUAUUUUCAUUAUAAAAAUAAAUUUUAAUUAAUUUUAUAAAUU
rnacentral:tRNA from 1 species